GCCCGGAUAGCUCAGUCGGUAGAGCAGGGGACUGAAAAUCCCCGUGUCCUUGGUUCGAUUCCGAGUCCGGGCACCA
rnacentral:tRNA from 1 species